rnacentral:tRNA from 1 species
GCCUCUAUAGCUCAGCCGGUUAGAGCGCAACAUUGGUAAUGUUGAGGUCCCGCGUUCAAGUCGCGGUAGAGGCU